AAGGCUGCCCAAGGCCGCUUGAUGAAAGGAGAUAAACCGGGGACGGUUUCCAGGAUCCCCGCGGGCCGACCCAGGCAGCUCGGGAGCCGAGGCCGCCGGACGGGGAACACAAGCCUGACUGCGGGGUGGAGGCGCGAGGCCAGCCCGGGAUUGCGCCCUCUCCAGCGCGGUGAUUGCUGCGCGCCGGGGCGCACGAGCUGCGGUGAGGCACAUCUCCUGCAGAUCCAGUACGCGAUUGAAUCAGGCCAUCCUGUGAGGGAUGGGCGCGAAUUCCGGCUCCCGGUGGCUCGGUGGUGACCCGACGGCGAACGCCGGCCGGGCUUGGCCUGAGGUAUAUCCGCAAAGUAGAGAUGGCAUCAAACCCACAGGAACACCUGCUUCCACCUCUGGCUGUACUCAGCCUAGCCUGGCCUUGCGGGAAGUACAGCUACUGUAGGCUUACAGAUCUCAACUGUGCGAAUGUGUUCAUACAGGUCAGACGGCAGGGAAAGCGAUGCAGGCUGGAUGUCAAGGAUUCCUUUGACCAAGCUUUGCUGACCUCUAGGCCCAGCCAGGGUUUGCAGGAUCCACAGCCAUUGUUUCUUCCAAGCCCCCCAUACUGGGAGAAGCCAGCUUUGGCCUGACUUCCACCACCACCAUUUCUGCCCCACAGAAGGUUCCUAGUCAGGAAAACCUACAACCACAGGACACACCUGUGUGUUCCACAGCUCUGCCUUCUUCCACACCCAGCAGAAGAUUCCCUUCCUGGGAGGAAACCAGUAGGUGACACAAACACUUAUGCACCUUCUCCCUAAUUUCUGGGGAGAAUUGAGCCCUUGGUCUGGUUACCUGUAAUGUUUAUAAACCAAAUAAAAUGUUUCUCAGAGUUCCCACUGA
rnacentral:lncRNA from 1 species